rnacentral:lncRNA from 1 species
GCAAUUGAGCAUAUUCCUAGAAAUGUUUCUAAACCAUAACCUGAGAGAAUGUUGAUCUCCAUAGUGUGAAAAUGACUUGGGCCAGUUUAACUUGUACUUUUUUUUUUCUAAACUAAUUCCGUUUUGUUUUUCUCUGAUAAUUCUUCUCUUUCCUGAGCCUCUUUAGAGCAGCACUUACAGGAUUGCCUGUGUAAAGCCUUAUUCCUGUCCCAGAAAAGGUGAAAUCCCUAAGGGCUCUGCCAUGUACUCCAGCCUUGUGACCCUUGCCUUCCAGGAACCAUGCAAGAAGUGCAGCCACCGGAAGUCCUUAAAACAGCAGGAAAGGAAUUUCCAGUAUUCCAAAUAUGAGAAGCUGAGAAAACAAACAACAAACUCAAAACCCUAAAAACCAGGAUACGUAAGGGUAGAUGUUUGUUGGGUGUGGAUUAAAAAUGGACUUUUUUUGCCCCAAGCAACAAAGAGGCACCUUAGAAAAUAGACAAGAGACAAGAAGAAGAGAAGCUUUAAGAGAUAUUUGGUCCAAGGAAGAGACUCUUCAGAUGGAAGGUCACGUCAGCUAGAAACAUUAAUAUGACUGGAUGGGCUCAAACCACUGACUUUUCAGUCAACAUCCGACAGCACUAACCUAGUGUUCCAGAGACACUGCUUGUUAAACAGUGAAAGCUGUUGCUCAAUUGUGUCAUCCGUAAUUGUCAAAUAUUGCCAUUUAGUAGCACAAGGAAGUAUUCUCCGUUGCCAAGCUAGAGCACCCAUAACUCUUCUGUUUUGUUGAACAUUCUUCCCCACCACAAACCCUCUUUAGAAGACUGGGGGCUCCUAAAGCAUUG